AGCAGAAUAAUAAAACAUUUAAAACAUAUGAUAACAUGGAAUGCAUCACAUCACAGCUAAUCACAUCAAGAAUGAAUUUGUCACCAAUAGUCCCCUACAUGGUCCAACUGUGCCAGGGGCGUAGAAUGGGCCUCGCUGGUCUUUCCCUUACAUAACAUAACAUAACAUGGUCCAACUGUGCCAGAGGCGUAGAAUGGGCCUCGCUGGUCUUUCUCUUACAUGGUGCCAGGAGCGUAGAAUGGGCCUCACUGGUCUUCCGUACCGUAUCAUCAUCAUCAUAACAUAUGGGGACUAAAGGAUCAUUCAACAUUCAUCCACAUCAUCAACAUAUUAUGCAAUGCAACAUAUUCGUGAGUCUAAUGCAAACACCCUAUUAUAUCUCAUGGCAUUCAUGAUGCGUGAAUCAUGCUAAAAUUGAUUGAUU
rnacentral:lncRNA from 1 species